rnacentral:rRNA from 1 species
AAUUUUGGACAAUGGGGGCAACCCUGAUCCAGCCAUCCCUCGUGUGCUAUGAAGGCCUUCGGGUUGUAAAGCACUUUUGGCAGGGAAGAAAAUGCUCUGGCUAAUACCUGGAGCUGCUGACGGUACCUGAAUAAUAAGCACCGACUAACUACUGGCCUGCAGCCCCGGUAAUACGUAGGGUCCAAGCGUUAACCGUAAUUACUGGGCGUAAGGCGUGCGCAUGCGGUUCGGCAAGAAGGAUGUGACAUCCCAGGGCUUAACCUUGGAACUGCAUUCUUAACUGCCGGGCUAGAGUAUGUCAGAGGGGGGUAGAAUUCCGCGUGUAGCAGUGAAAUGCGUAGAGAUGCGGAGGAAUACCGAUGGCGAAGGCAGCCCCCUGGGAUAAUACUGACGCUCAUGCACGAAAGCGUGGGGAGCAAAC